ACCAGCGGGCGACGGCAGCAGCUCUCGCGCGAGGAGGAAGAUGGCCGAAGCUUCUUUGCCGCCGUGCGGGCGUUUCCGGCGUCGGUGGUCGCUGAUUUUGGUGCCGAUCGACUCCUCUCGGCCUCGGCUUUGUUUUGGCGGCAGCGGUGUCGACAGUGGUGGCCGGAAUCGGAGAUUCACGGUGGAGAGAGAAAAUGGUGGCAGUCGGCGUUUUUGGCUUUUCCGGAGAGAUCCGGCGGAGGAGGGAUGAUCGGAGGACAUAUCCCGACUCUCCUC
rnacentral:lncRNA from 1 species